UACGGAGGGUGCGAGCGUUAUCCGGAUUCACUGGGUUUAAAGGGUGCGUAGGUGGGCAGGUAAGUCAGUGGUGAAAUCUCCGGGCUUAACCCGGAAACUGCCAUUGAUACUAUCAGUCUUGAAUACCGUGGAGGUAAGCGGAAUAUGUCAUGUAGCGGUGAAAUGCUUAGAUAUGACAUAGAACACCAAUUGCGAAGGCAGCUCGUUACACGAAUAUUGACUCUGAGGCACGAAAGCGUGGGGAUCAAACAGG
rnacentral:rRNA from 1 species